AACGAACGCUGGCGGCAUGCUUAACACAUGCAAGUCGAACGGGCGUAGCAAUACGUCAGUGGCAGACGGGUGAGUAACGCGUGGGAACGUACCUUUUGGUUCGGAACAACACAGGGAAACUUGUGCUAAUACCGGAUAAGCCCUUACGGGGAAAGAUUUAUCGCCGAAAGAUCGGCCCGCGUCUGAUUAGCUAGUUGGUGGGGUAAAGGCCCACCAAGGCGACGAUCAGUAGCUGGUCUGAGAGGAUGAUCAGCCACAUUGGGACUAAGACACGGCCCAAACUCCUACGGGAGGCAGCAGUGGGGAAUAUUGGACAAUGGGCGCAAGCCUGAUCCAGCCAUGCCGCGUGAGUGAUGAAGGCCCUAGGGUUGUAAAGCUCUUUUGUACGGGAAGAUAAUGACGGUACCGUAAGAAUAAGCCCCGGCUAACUUCGUGCCAGCAGCCGCGGU
rnacentral:rRNA from 1 species